UACGUAGGGUGCAAGCGUUGCCCGGAAUUAUUGGGCGUAAAGAGCUCGUAGGCGGUUUGUCGCGUCUGCUGUGAAAAUCCAGGGCUUAACCCUGGACCUGCAGUGGGUACGGGCAGACUAGAGUGCGGUAGGGGAGAUCGGAAUUCCUGGUGUAGCGGUGAAAUGCGCAGAUAUCAGGAGGAACACCGGUGGCGAAGGCGGAUCUCUGGGCCGUAACUGACGCUGAGGAGCGAAAGCAUGGGGAGCGAACAGG
rnacentral:rRNA from 1 species